rnacentral:rRNA from 1 species
UGGGGAAUAUUGCACAAUGGGCGCAAGCCUGAUGCAGCCAUGCCGCGUGUAUGAAGAAGGCCUUCGGGUUGUAAAGUACUUUCAGUCGGGAGGAAGGUGGUAAGGUUAAUAACCUUAUCAAUUGACGUUACCGACAGAAGAAGCACCGGCUAACUCCGUGCCAGCAGCCGCGGUAAUACGGAGGGUGCAAGCGUUAAUCGGAAUUACUGGGCGUAAAGCGCACGCAGGCGGUUGAUUGAGUCAGAUGUGAAAUCCCCGGGCUUAACCCGGGAAUUGCAUCUGAUACUGGUCAGCUAGAGUCUUGUAGAGGGGGGUAGAAUUCCAUGUGUAGCGGUGAAAUGCGUAGAGAUGUGGAGGAAUACCGGUGGCGAAGGCGGCCCCCUGGUCAAAGACUGACGCUCAGGUGCGAAAGCGUGGGGAGCAAACAGG